rnacentral:rRNA from 1 species
ACGCUGGCGGCGUGCCUAAUACAUGCAAGUCGAACGAGAGCGACCGGUGCUUGCACUGGUCAAUCUAGUGGCGAACGGGUGAGUAACACGUGGGUAACCUGCCCAUCAGAGGGGGAUAACAUUCGGAAACGGAUGCUAAAACCGCAUAGGUCUUCGAACCGCAUGGUUUGAAGAGGAAAAGAGGCGCAAGCUUCUGCUGAUGGAUGGACCCGCGGUGCAUUAGCUAGUUGGUGAGGUAACGGCUCACCAAGGCCGUGAUGCAUAGCCGACCUGAGAGGGUGAUCGGCCACAUUGGGACUGAGACACGGCCCAAACUCCUACGGGAGGCAGCAGUAGGGAAUCUUCCGCAAUGGACGCAAGUCUGACGGAGCAACGCCGCGUGAGUGAAGAAGGUUUUCGGAUCGUAAAACUCUGUUGUUAGAGAAGAACAAGUGCUAGAGUAACUGUUAGCGCCUUGACGGUAUCUAACCAGAAAGCCACGGCUAACUACGUGCCAGCAGCCGCGGUAAUACGUAGGUGGCAAGCGUUGUCCGGAUUUAUUGGGCGUAAAGCGAGCGCAGGCGGUUCCUUAAGUCUGAUGUGAAAGCCCCCGGCUCAACCGGGGAGGGUCAUUGGAAACUGGGGAACUUGAGUGCAGAAGAGGAGAGUGGAAUUCCAUGUGUAGCGGUGAAAUGCGUAGAUAUAUGGAGGAACACCAGUGGCGAAGGCGACUCUCUGGUCUGUAACUGACGCUGAGGCUCGAAAGCGUGGGUAGCAAACAGGAUUAGAUACCCUGGUAGUCCACGCCGUAAACGAUGAGUGCUAAGUGUUGGAGGGUUUCCGCCCUUCAGUGCUGCAGUUAACGCAUUAAGCACUCCGCCUGGGGAGUACGACCGCAAGGUUGAAACUCAAAGGAAUUGACGGGGACCCG